rnacentral:snRNA from 1 species
GUGCUCGCUUCGGCGCACACAGACUAAAACUGGAACGAUGCAGAGAAGAUGAGCAUGGCCCCUGCGCAAGGAUGACACACAUAUUUGUGAAGCGCUCCAUAUUUUA